rnacentral:rRNA from 1 species
AUCUAUGGCUACACCAGCCUAAAUGCACCCAAUCUCGUCUUAUCUCAGAAGCUAAGCAGGGUCAGUCUUAGUUAGUACUUGGAUAGGAGAUGCUUAGAAGACAUUAGAUG